rnacentral:lncRNA from 1 species
UUUUUUUUUUUUUUUUUUUUUGAAAACAGGGCUUCAUGUUGUCUAGACUGUCUUCAAUCUCAUUAUGUACCAGAGGCUGGUCUUAAAUUUGUGUUCCUCUUGUCUCCAGUUCCCAAAUCAUGGGCGUACAGAUGCAUUUCAUUAUGCUGUCUAAAAAGUAUAAUUUGUAUUUGAUGUUCAGAAUUGGAAAAGAAAGACAGGAUCUGAAAGCCAAAGAUAACACAAUUUUAGACUCACCAAAAAUCAGGAAGUAAUGAGGCUGGAAAAAUGACUCAGUAUAACAGCAUGCACUGCUAUUCAGAGGACCUGAGUUCGGUUCCCAGCAUGCACACCUAGCGCCUUACAAUUUCAUGAUCUCUAGAGCUACAGAAUACAGUGCCUCUGGACUCUGCAAGUACCUGUAUUCAUAUAGGUCAUGUUGUUGUGUUGAAAAUCUCUCAGCCAGUGUCAUUUUUAAAUGUAAUAAGGAAAUAAAUAGAAAACAGGACAUAAGAGACAAAAGAUUGAGUGAAGGCCUGUACAGUACUAUCUACUGGACGAGAAAAGCCAUUGCAUUACGAACUCAAAACCACUGGGUCUGCACAGGACUGUCUCUAUCAACAGCUAAUCAUGGAUAGGACCCUUAUUCUAUGGAACCUUAUUCUUCUCUACUAAACUGUUGGUUACUGAAAGAUCGUGGGAGAGUCCUCUUUAGUUCUAUACCCACUGGUGAGCCCACCAGGCUCCAGUGAAGAGUUUCAAACCCGAAGUCAUACAGAAUCCUAGUUCAGGUAAGUGGGUCACAAAACCAAAAAUAUAUAAAUGUGGGAAAGGAAUUUGUCACAAUGCUGUUGACAGGUAUAGAGGGAUAUAAGAAGAGUAGAGUGGAAAUAAUUAGGAUGAAUGAUAUAUGCACAAGAUUGUCAGAGAACAAGUUUGAUAACCAGAAAAAGACACAGAUUAACUUAAGCCAGUAUAGCUAAAUGUGAAGUCUAGCAAGACAAAGGCUAUGAACUUUCCUUAUACAGUUCUCUGUGUUUUCCCAGUUUUUGAUAGUACAUAUUUAGAUUUUUCAAAUGUGGUUUGUAAAGCACCUAGGAGCCAUAGAAUAUUUAUGCACAUUGUAAGUGCUAGAGUUGGCUCCAUAGAUAUGACCCAACAAGAGUACCAGUGAAUGCCCAUUCAGGUGGGAUUGUAGCGCUGCGGCUUCAUAAGUUAAGUGAUGGUAAAUACUCAUUUCUGUUAAAAAGACCUAUAUUUGAACACUGUAAAAGUGAAAGCCUAUAUAGUUGUAAUCUAUUUUAAAUAAUAUAUUUCUCAUCUUAUACAGAGUAUAAGUAGCGUAGUACAUCAGAGCUACAGUGCUAAAAGAGGUUGGGACUGGACUUUUCAGCCUUGUCCUAACUUCAGAACCAGUCUUUGAUAUUUUUCUUCUCAGAAUAAGAUAGAUUUUUUUUGUAGUAUGUCCAGGCAAAGCUAAAAAUGUGUUCUUAAAAAACCUCCACUUAGAAUUGAUGAGAGAAAACUAUCGGCUAGUUUUUCAGAUAGGCUUCCAGGAGACACAUUAGGUGAUUGGAUGAUCUAUUAAGGACAGUUAAACUUUAGAGAAGUCAUUCUUGAGUUUAUAGUUUUAAUUUCUCCAGGACACUCAAAGCUGUUACUCUUGUGUAAUUUUCUUAGGUCCUUCUGCCGCUUCUUGGUUAUAUCUUCCACACAUUGCCUCCAACCACUUCUUACCAUAUUGCAGAGUUCUCAGAAAGUGUCCUUGUGUUCAAUGUCUCUGCCUCAUACUUCCUAUCCCUUGAUUUCCUUCUACAUCUCAGCCUAACCAGUAACUUUGCUCUCUUUGAUUCUGCCUGCCUUACCACAGAGACUUUCCCCAGGAGCUAAGAUGGCAGGCAGUUCCCCAGCUCUAUCUCCGUGGUCCCUCUCACUCUCAGACCAGCAGCUCUCAGUACUGGAUAGAUGUGCCAGACCUGCCUUAGCUUGAGGUCUAAAUUCCUAGGUGCCAGUUAGUCUCAGAAUCAUAGAACAAAUUUGGUCUUUCCAGUUUAUUAAAAAAAAAUGUUUAUUGUGAAAGCUUUCAACACAGAGGAGUUGAUUAUUGUGAUGAAUUUCUGUACAUUCCCUUCAUGUCUCUCUCCACAUUGCUUUAUUGCCCUUUUAUACUUCAGUGUGGACUAUUGUCUCUCUCAGCCCUCCAGUACUAGCUGUAUAUCCAGAAUUCCCUAAAUGCUUUCACCCAGCCGGCGGUAUCAGGAUCCAUGAGGAGCCUCAUCUCAGUUUCUGCAGCCCUAGAUUGAUUAGGGUCCUUUUCCACACCAUUUCACACUCCCGGGUUUGAGAUGAUGGCUGAUGGCCUUUAGAGUUGUAUUGUCCCUCUGUGCAUGCUUGCUCAUCGCUUACCCUCUUAUGUUGCUGGCAAUUAUAAAAAACUGCCUUUGGGGUCUAGCCUGCUUUUUUACUUCAAAAUUUGCUUAUUUAUCCCAGAAUUAGCUCAUUUGUGCAGCUUCCACAAAAAUCAUGAGUGCUACAGUCAUAACAUAGUAGAAUGAAACAAAAACCUCUUGGUGGAAAACAAAAAAAACCCAAAAAAACCCUUGGUGACAUUUUGUAAUAUAUCCUGAUUCAUGGUUUGUUACUUGCUUCGCCAGAUGUCUUACUUUAUACAGCUUGAUUCAUGUGUUGGAAUCCCCUUACUGACUUAAGUUCUCAGGGACAGUAGCCUUUGGCACACUGCUGAGCAUAUUACAGAUGUUCUGUAAUAAAUGAACUAAUAUACAUAAAUAAACACAAAUGAACU